UCCUCGGUAGCUCAAUUGGCAGAGCGCGCGGCUGUUAACCGUGAUGUUCCUGGUUCGAGUCCAGGCCGAGGAG
rnacentral:tRNA from 1 species